rnacentral:rRNA from 1 species
UGAGUAAUGCGUGACCAACCUGCCCCAUGCUCCAGAAUAGCUCUUGGAAACGGGUGGUAAUGCUGGAUGCUCCAACUUGACGCAUGUCUUGUUGGGAAAGUGUUUAGUGGCAUGGGAUGGGGUCGCGUCCUAUCAGCUUGUAGGCGGGGUAAUGGCCCACCUAGGCUUCGACGGGUAGCCGGCCUGAGAGGGCGGACGGCCACAUUGGGACUGAGAUACGGCCCAGACUCCUACGGGAGGCAGCAGUA